GUUCCUGUAGCAUAAGGGAUGGUGCUUUAGACUUCUAAUUUAAGGGUCAUGGGUUCGAAUCCCACCUGGUGUC